AGAAUGACUCUCGGCAACGGAUAUCUAGGCUCUUGCAUCGAUGAAGAACGUAGCGAAAUGCGAUACUUGGUGUGAAUUGCAAAAUCCCGUGAACCAUCGAGUCUUUGAACGCAAGUUGCGCCCGAAGCCAUCCGGUUGAGGGCACGCCUGCCUGGGCGUCACAU
rnacentral:rRNA from 1 species